UGGGGAAUAUUGCACAAUGGGGGAAACCCCUGAUGCAGCGACGCCGCGUGAAGGAAGAAGUAUCUCGGUAUGUAAACUUCUAUCAGCAGGGAAGAUAGUGACGGUACCUGACUAAGAAGCCCCGGCUAACUACGUGCC
rnacentral:rRNA from 1 species